GACUACAUGAAGCUGGAAUCGCUAGUAAUCGCGAAUCAGAAUGUCGCGGUGAAUACGUUCCCGGGUCUUGUACACACCGCCCGUCACACCAUGGGAGUCGGAAAUGCCCGAAGUCAGUGACCUAACCGAAAGGGAGGAGCUGCCGAAGGUGGAGCCGGUAACUGGGGUGAAGUCGUAACAAGGUAUC
rnacentral:rRNA from 1 species